AUGACGGUCAUAACAAUUUCACAUCUUUAUCUUUCCAGAAAUAAUAUGCCCCAGUUCAGUGAUUGUGGCUUUGCAUUUGAAAUCUUAGAUAUUCGAUCAAGCUCUAAAUCUUCAGUUUGUUGCCAGUAUGUUCAUGAAAUAGAUAGCAUCAGUGAGGUUGUGUCUCUCGUCUGCUGCAUAUGGCUAGCAGUUACUACAUGGCCGAGACAAAGAAAUGCUGCUAGUCCAAAAAUGGGUUCAGUUGAAAAACUUGGUGCUCUUUUCACCAUACCUCAUCCCUGUACCAUCCUUGCUUGUCAAUUUUGUAUGUUCUUGGGACUUGCAAUCAAUCUUUGCUGA
rnacentral:rRNA from 1 species